rnacentral:ncRNA from 1 species
AGAGUAGGCGUGAUGCGUUAAGUGCCUUGGGAUGGGAGGUCGCCCAAGGACGAAGGAGGGAUUCCCUCUGCGGUGUCACGUCGCAGCCGCU